rnacentral:lncRNA from 1 species
UGAAGGCCAAAAUCAAAUUUCAGGCUAAAGUACCUCUAUUUUAAAGUCAAAGUACUAGUUGUCAUGCCCCUAAAAAUCUUUUUUUUAAAGGAAAACAGAUCAAAUUUGUUUCACCAGAAGUAGACCAGCCCUGCACCAUUUCAGACUGAUUGCUUUUUAAUCCUCACCAGCUAAAUUAUUUUCAGACCACAUGUUAACUAAAAAUGAUAGAACGGUGAAAACUUUCAACAACAGUGUUUUCCUAUUUGUCUUUUUUAUCAGGUCACAGCCCCACCUCGCCAUUUUCUACUUCACCACCACCUCGUUCAACAAUAGGAGCAUCUUUAGGUACCGGGAAAAGCUCAGUUCCUCCAACUUUUGGCACUUCUCCUCCCCAUCCCACAACAGUAGGUCUCCCACCAGGUGUUUAUUACUUCAUCACCAUCACUGUGAAGGCAGUUGGACCCAAGAAUGAAACGGAAAUUACUGGCUUGCUGAGGGAUAUUUUCCAGAGCAACCUGCAGAAGUGCAUCCUCCCAGAACCUCCAAGCACAGCCGCCGCUGUUAUUACAACUUCCACCUCUUCAAACCCAACACAAAAGUCAGUGCUACUUGCUGCUUUGCAGAUUGUUGUGAGCAAAUUUCAAUGCAGAAAAACUGCAUGCUAGCAAUAAAAAAUUUGCAAUUGAAAGUUUUCCCUUCAAUUAUGUACUUUAAUAAAUCAUUUGCAGAAGUGAAAUCUAAACGUUAACAGUAAUUUCUUUUUUAGGUGGGAAGGAAACAAUACUUCUUUAUUUCAAGUAAGUUAAUUAUCAUAUUUUGCCAUUUGAUAGUUUGAACAGAAGCAUUGUUUUACCUACUUCGAUUUUCAACAGGGAGUGGAAGUGUCAUGUCUUUCUAAAACGUCAUUUACGUGAGUGAAAUACCUUUUUUAUUGUUUGUCAUUGUUGUAGACGAGUACGUCAUUAAAACAUUUCCUGUGCUUUAGAAAUACCACAUGCACUGCGACACUACGGCUAAAUCAGACGGUGCCACCAUGUUGCAUCCUCCGAACACUUUGUACCGCCACUAAAAACUCAACGGACAUCUCUCUGGUGGGAAACAAGGCAGAGAGACUUAGUAAGUAUACGGUUUCUCUAACAGGUUACACACUUGGUAGGUUGCUGCUUCAAAACAACUGUCUGUGCUCCUAAACAGGCCCUC